UUUUGGACAAUGGGGGCAACCCUGAUCCAGCCAUGCCGCGUGAGUGAAGAAGGCCUUCGGGUUGUAAAGCUCUUUCUGACGGAACGAAAUGGGCGGGACUAAUACUCCUGUCUGAUGACGGUACCGUAAGAAGAAGCACCGGCUAACUACGUGCCAGCAGCCGCGGUAAUACGUAGGGUGCGAGCGUUAAUCGGAAUUACUGGGCGUAAAGCGUGCGCAUGCGGUUUCGUAAGCUGGAGGUGAAAUCCCCGGGCUUAACCUGGGAAUGGCCUUCAGGACUGCGAGGCUAGAGUGCGGCAGAGGGAGGUGGAAUUCCACGUGUAGCAGUGAAAUGCGUAGAGAUGUGGGGGAACACCGAUGGCGAAGGCAGCCUCCUGGGCCAGCACUGACGCUCAUGCACGAAA
rnacentral:rRNA from 1 species